AAUAAGUUUAUUUUCCAGUUUUUGGAUACAAUGUUUCGACUAUUUGUCUUAUUUGAAUUUUUUUGCGAUUACUAUUUUCAUUGUUACUAGAUGAUAAAACAUGAAUAAUACUUUAUACGUGACUAAUUUUUUUAAUUUUUGUACAUUUUUUUCAAAUAAAACGAAUGGUCAAACUUUGGACACGGAAAUCGAAAAAUGAGGUUAUU
rfam:Oryza brachyantha chromosome 10, whole genome shotgun sequence.